UAAUGAGGCACCAUCAGACCAUCGUCAUCAUCAUCACCAUUACACAGGCUGGGAAGUAUCUCAGGUAUCCCGAUCUCACAUUGAUUCCAUUUCAGAAUAAUUCUCUUCUGUUUAGUUCGUUUCAGCUAAUUAUUAAGCCUAUUUAGAUUAGUCUCCGCUCUUGUGGCCUCAGGGUCUCUGUGUAUUGCGGUUGCUACUGCCGUCACCAUCCAUGUGCUAAAACUGUUUGUUUUAAUUCGAUUUUCUCAUCCUGUAUCCUAUUUCAUGCGAUUCGAAAUGACAGGUUCAGGUGCUCUACUCUGCUCUGCGCUGCGGCAUAC
rnacentral:lncRNA from 1 species